GUUUUUGUGUUCUUCACUCUUUCAUUCAUUGGAGCACAUAGUGAACUCCAAACACAGAAUAAUAAUGUUAGAAGCAGAAGAAUGUUGGAGUUCCAAAGUGAUUCAAAGCCAAUUAAGAAGAAAAUCAGCACAACUUCAACUUCAGUUUCUGCUCCCAAGAACCAAACCAAAUCAACCAAUAACUCUUCUAAAAAUCAAACCAAGCAAAUCAAGACUUCCUCUUCUUCUAGUUUUGGUUCUACCAAGAACCAAACCAAGCUUUCAAAAUCAAAACUUCCCAUUUCUGAAUCACAAACCAAGCCUAGUUCUACCAUUACCAAAUCAGAGAAAUUUACAUUCAAAUCCCAG
rnacentral:misc_RNA from 1 species